UUCUGACCGUAAACGAUGCCAACUAGCGAUCCGCCGGCGGAUUUCAAAACGCCCUGGUGGGGAGCUUCCCGGAAACGAAAGUCUUCCGGUUCCGGGGGAAGUAUGGUUGCAAAGCUGAAACUUAAAGGAAUUGACGGAAGGGCACCACCAGGAGUGGAGCCUGCGGCUUAAUUUGACUCAACACGGGAAAACUCACCCGGCCCGGACACCGCGACGAUUGACAGAUUGAUAGCUCUUUCAUGAUUCGGUGGAUGGUGGUGCAUGGCCGUUCUUAGUUCGUGGAGCGAUUUGUCUGGUUUAUUCCGAUAACGAGCGAGACUCUAGCCUACUAAAUAGUCCGCACAUUUUUUAAACCAAUGUGUGCCUUCACGGACUUCUUAGAGGGAUUUUCGGCGUUCAAAGCCGCACGAAACUGAGCAAUAACAGGUCUGUGAUGCCCUUAGAUGUCCGGGGCUGCACGCGCGCUACACUGGCGAAAUCAGCGUGCUUGUCCUUUCGCGAAAGCGAUUGGUAAACCGGUGAAAAUUCGCCGUGAUUGGGAUCGGAAAUUGCAAUUAUUUUCCGUGAACGAGGAAUUCCAAGUAAGUGCGAGUCAUCAACUCGCGUUG
rnacentral:rRNA from 1 species